rnacentral:rRNA from 2 species
AGACUCAAAGGAAUUGACGGGGGCCCGCACAAGCGGUGGAGCAUGUGGUUUAAUUUGAAGCAACGCGAAGAACCUUACCAGGUCUUGACAUCCUCUGACAACCCUAGAGAUAGGGCUUUCCCUUCGGGGACAGAGUGACAGGUGGUGCAUGGUUGUCGUCAGCUCGUGUCGUGAGAUGUUGGGUUAAGUCCCGCAACGAGCGCAACCCUUGAUCUUAGUUGCCAGCAUUCAGUUGGGCACUCUAAGGUGACUGCCGGUGACAAACCGGAGGAAGGUGGGGAUGACGUCAAAUCAUCAUGCCCCUUAUGACCUGGGCUACACACGUGCUACAAUGGACAGAACAAAGGGCUGCAAGACCGCAAGGUUUAGCCAAUCCCAUAAAUCUGUUCUCAGUUCGGAUCGCAGUCUGCAACUCGACUGCGUGAAGCUGGAAUCGCUAGUAAUCGCGGAUCAGCAUGCCGCGGUGAAUACGUUCCCGGGCCUUGUACACACCGCCCGUCACACCACGAGAGUUUGCAACACCCGAAGUCGGUGAGGUAACCUUUAUGGAGCCAGCCGC